ACGGGAAGAGCCCAAACCAACAAGCUUGCUUGUUGGGGUUGUAGGACACUCUAUACGGAGUUACAAAGGACGACAUUAGACGAAUCAUCUGGAAAGAUGAAUCAAAGAAGGUAAUAAUCCUGUAGUCGAAAAUGUUGUCUCUCUUGAGUGGAUCCUGAGUACGACGGAGCACGUGAAAUUCCGUCGGAAUCUGGGAGGACCAUCUCCUAAGGCUAAAUACUCUCUAGUGACCGAUAGUGAACCAGUACCGUGAGGGAAAGGUGAAAAGCACCCCGGAAGGGGAGUGAAAUAGAACCUGAAACCGUGUGCUUACAAGUAGUCAGAGCCCGUUAAUGGGUGAUGGCGUGCCUUUUGUAGAAUGAACCGGCGAGUUACGAUUUGAUGCAAGGUUAAGCAGUAAAUGUGGAGCCGUAGCGAAAGCGAGUCUGAAUAGGGCGUUUAGUAUUUGGUCGUAGACCCGAAACCAGGUGAUCUACCCUUGGUCAGGUUGAAGUUCAGGUAACACUGAAUGGAGGACCGAACCGACUUACGUUGAAAAGUGAGCGGAUGAACUGAGGGUAGCGGAGAAAUUCCAAUCGAACCUGGAGAUAGCUGGUUCUCUCCGAAAUAGCUUUAGGGCUAGCCUCAAGUGAUGAUUAUUGGAGGUAGAGCACUGUUUGGACGAGGGGCCCCUCUCGGGUUACCGAAUUCAGACAAACUCCGAAUGCCAAUUAAUUUAACUUGGGAGUCAGAACAUGGGUGAUAAGGUCCGUGUUCGAAAGGGAAACAGCCCAGACCACCAGCUAAGGUCCCAAAAUAUAUGUUAAGUGGAAAAGGAUGUGGCGUUGCCCAGACAACUAGGAUGUUGGCUUAGAAGCAGCCAUCAUUUAAAGAGUGCGUAAUAGCUCACUAGUCGAGUGACACUGCGCCGAAAAUGUACCGGGGCUAAACAUAUUACCGAAGCUGUGGAUUGUCCUUUGGACAAUGGUAGGAGAGCGUUCUAAGGGCGUUGAAGCAUGAUCGUAAGGACAUGUGGAGCGCUUAGAAGUGAGAAUGCCGGUGUGAGUAGCGAAAGACGGGUGAGAAUCCCGUCCACCGAUUGACUAAGGUUUCCAGAGGAAGGCUCGUCCGCUCUGGGUUAGUCGGGUCCUAAGCUGAGGCCGACAGGCGUAGGCGAUGGAUAACAGGUUGAUAUUCCUGUACCACCUAUAAUCGUUUUAAUCGAUGGGGGGACGCAGUAGGAUAGGCGAAGCGUGCGAUUGGAUUGCACGUCUAAGCAGUAAGGCUGAGUAUUAGGCAAAUCCGGUACUCGUUAAGGCUGAGCUGUGAUGGGGAGAAGACAUUGUGUCUUCGAGUCGUUGAUUUCACACUGCCGAGAAAAGCCUCUAGAUAGAAAAUAGGUGCCCGUACCGCAAACCGACACAGGUAGUCAAGAUGAGAAUUCUAAGGUGAGCGAGCGAACUCUCGUUAAGGAACUCGGCAAAAUGACCCCGUAACUUCGGGAGAAGGGGUGCUCUUUAGGGUUAACGCCCAGAAGAGCCGCAGUGAAUAGGCCCAAGCGACUGUUUAUCAAAAACACAGGUCUCUGCUAAACCGUAAGGUGAUGUAUAGGGGCUGACGCCUGCCCGGUGCUGGAAGGUUAAGAGGAGUGGUUAGCUUCUGCGAAGCUACGAAUCGAAGCCCCAGUAAACGGCGGCCGUAACUAUAACGGUCCUAAGGUAGCGAAAUUCCUUGUCGGGUAAGUUCCGACCCGCACGAAAGGCGUAACGAUUUGGGCACUGUCUCAACGAGAGACUCGGUGAAAUCAUAGUACCUGUGAAGAUGCAGGUUACCCGCGACAGGACGGAAAGACCCCGUGGAGCUUUACUGUAGCCUGAUAUUGAAAUUCGGCACAGCUUGUACAGGAUAGGUAGGAGCCUUUGAAACGUGAGCGCUAGCUUACGUGGAGGCGCUGGUGGGAUACUACCCUAGCUGUGUUGGCUUUCUAACCCGCACCACUUAUCGUGGUGGGAGACAGUGUCAGGCGGGCAGUUUGACUGGGGCGGUCGCCUCCUAAAAGGUAACGGAGGCGCUCAAAGGUUCCCUCAGAAUGGUUGGAAAUCAUUCAUAGAGUGUAAAGGCAUAAGGGAGCUUGACUGCGAGACCUACAAGUCGAG
rnacentral:rRNA from 1 species